AAUUUGAGGGUUGGUGAUUGUUUUUUUUAAUUCUAAGGGUUUUGACUUUUAUCAUUUCUAAAGAGAAUUGAAUUUAGGAAGUAGAAAAUAAAGUAGGUUAGGAAAAAUACCAUAGAGGGAAAACAACACCCAUUUAGGUUAAUUUUGGGCUUAAUAGGGAAAGACAAAUAAUAAUAAAUUAUCUAUGUUUAUCUCAAGAGACAAAAAUAGUACCCCUGUGGGCAGAAGAACAGAGAACUGAGAACCGUACAAAUAAGAAUGGGUCAAAAUGCAUGUCAGAAGGCACUAGGCUAGCAAGCAUAUGCACAAAGGAUAAUAAGACUAACCACUGGGGAAAAACUGCAAAGCUAAUGUAAAUAACCUUACUUCUAUGAGCUAAUGAAAAGGAGUAGGUCUGGGAGUAAUAAUAUGUGUAUUUAUUGCACAGGUAUAAUAAUAAUAUGUGUAUUUAUUGCUGUUCAGGUAAGAAGCUACAGUUGCCUACUGAGGAGGAAGAAGCAAUGCAAGAGAAACAAGCAGUUGAUGGAAGCAUGACCAAUUAGUGGCUGAAUACUGGCUGAAGCUGCUGUCUCUAUUUACAAAAGCCCAAGAACUACAAAUAACUUAAAGGUUGGAUCUGAAUGAACAGGAACAGUUGCAGUAAGAGCUGUGUGGUAAGUCUGAUUUCACCAAAGCAAAUGCAGUGGCUGCAGCAGGAGAUCAGAAUCCACCUCUGCCUGCAGUUUGUCUCUCACGAACAGACAGCAGCAGCAGCUGAGGGAAGCGUGAGAGGCAGCCAUGCACUCAUGCUCCCUCAGGAUCCCAGCCCAGCUCUGGGGCCUUCCUAAGAUGAGGUCACACUUUUUAAUAGCCAUAACUGUGUUUACAUUCCAUUAAUUUUAUUAAAUAACAUUUUGUAUAUCUGUCAAUUAUUGGCAUCCAUAACAUCCUGUGAGAGUGAACUUCGCAUUUCAGCUAUACAUUGUACAAUAAAUUCCUUCCUGCUGCUCUUUUUGAACCUGUCACCAGUUAUGUGCCACACGUGCUGUUACAGAUCCUUCCCUCCAUCCUCGUGCUCCAAGAGGGAAGAGCCCAACUUUACAUAGCUGUGACCUUUAUGGAAGCUAUUCCAGACAAGCUCUUCCACACUUUUGAUUAUUCUGCAUGAGGUCUACUUCCUGAGAAAAGUCCAAAAGUGCAAACAGAACUCAAAGAUUGGGUGUACAACAGGUUUCUGUAGUUUGUGUAGUGGAAUAGUGAUGUUUGCUGUUUUGCUUUUAUUUAGUUUUUAAAAGUCCUCAAAUAUUGCUUGCUUUUUUGUCCUCUGCUGAACAAGCUGGGGUUUGGGAUAGUUUUGGGGGUUUUUUUGGUUUUGUUGUUUUUAGAACUAGCAAUUGUAACUCUUAGUCAUGCCUGCAUAUAUAAGUUAAGAUCUACCCCCUAUGUGUAUCAUCUUAUAUUUAUUAAUGAUCAAUUUAGUCCAUCAGUAUAAUGAGGCAUUGCUCAAUCUUAGAUUUCAC